rnacentral:lncRNA from 1 species
UUCUUGCACUGGUAAUUUUUCAUAAGUUCUUAGUCCAAUUGAUUCAGAUCUAACUCACACAAGUUGAUAACACGAAGAGGCCUAGAAUAGUGAGGUCAUCACAGAGACACCAGUAACAAGCUUCUCAAUCAAAUCACAGUCACUAAUAUCCAACACCAUGAGACCGAUCCAUUAUCAAAUAAUGAUAGCAUGAUAGGGCCAUAGGAGAGUUCUCACACCCAGCU